GUAUUAGAUUUAAAGGCCUUUCGGCACAAUUCACGUUCGAGAUUAGACAAAGGGGUGUGUAUAGUAAAGAGAAGGGAAAGCGGGAAACUAGCGGAAAACCCCACUAGAGUCCUACAAACCCUCUCAAAAGGUGCACAGGUGUAUGGAUAAGGAUUGUCAGAGGCGAGCACAUAUCCCAAAGGACCAGCUCAACCCCCUUCAACAAUUCAUUAAUGAUCCUUCCGCAGGUUCACCUACGGAAA
rnacentral:misc_RNA from 1 species